AGAGCGAACGCUGGCGGCAGGCCUAAUACAUGCAAGUCGAACGCACCUUCGGGUGAGUGGCGGACGGGUGAGUAACACGUGGGAACGUGCCUUUUGGUUCGGAAUAAUCCGGGGAAACCUGGCCUAAUACCGGAUGUGCCCUUCGGGGGAAAGAUUUAUCGCCAUUAGAGCGGCCCGCGUCUGAUUAGCUAGUUGGUGAGGUAACGGCCCACCAAGGCGACGAUCAGUAGCUGGUCUGAGAGGAUGAUCAGCCACACUGGGACUGAGACACGGCCCAGACUCCUACGGGAGGCAGCAGUAGGGAAUCUUGCGCAAUGGGCGAAAGCCUGACGCAGCCAUGCCGCGUGAAUGAUGAAGGUCUUAGGAUUGUAAAAUUCUUUCAGCGGGAAGAUAAUGACUGUACCCGCAGAAGAAGCUCCGGCUAACUCGCGCCAGCAGCCGC
rnacentral:rRNA from 1 species